UCUACAUCUUUCUCCACUCCUCCUAUGAAAAAAAAUAAAUAUCUCAUUUGCAUCAGUUUUCUUAGAUUUUCAAGACUAAACGGUUGAGAGUGUUUCCAGAGUGUACCGUUGCUGCUGUGUAGAAAACAAUACUGCUGGUGGAAUUUUCACUUCGUUGCGGUAUUUGUUCGCUCCUGUGUUUCGCUUUUCUCUCAGUGUGGUAAGUAUUACUCAACUAAUCCCUUAUUUAAAAUUAU